UGGGGAAUAUUGCGCAAUGGGCGAAAGCCUGACGCAGCGACGCCGCGUGAGGGAUGAAGGUCUUCGGAUCGUAAACCUCUGUCAGCAGGGAAGAAAGUUAUAUGUGCUAAUCAGCGUGUAAUUGACGGUACCUGCAAAGGAAGCACCGGCUAACUCCGUGCCAGCAGCCGCGGUAAUACGGAGGGUGCGAGCGUUAAUCGGAAUUACUGGGCGUAAAGCGCUCGUAGGUAGUGUGACAAGUCAAGGGUGAAAUCCCCGUGCUCAACAUGGGAACUGCCUUUGAAACUGUUAUACUUGAGUGUGUGAGAGGAUAGUGGAAUUCCAGGUGUAGGAGUGAAAUCCGUAGAUAUCUGGAGGAACAUCAGUGGCGAAGGCGACUAUCUGGCACAUAACUGACACUGAGGAACGAAAGCGUGGGGUAGCAAACAGGAUUAGAUACC
rnacentral:rRNA from 1 species